UAAACCCUAUUGUCGAUAUGGACUCUUGAAUAGGAUUGUGCUGUUAUCCCUAGGGUAACUUGUUCCAUUGAUCAAAAACUAUUGGAUCAAUAAAUGAUAUUAUAUUUUGACUGGUAAGUCUAAAUUUUAAUCACUCGGAAGUUUUUUUAUAUUCCGAGGUCACCCCAACCUAAAUUGUUAACCCAUAAUAAUGGUGAAAUGUUUGUCUAGUAGGUAAAUAUUACCCAUGAAUUUGGGUUAAUUAAUUAAAGUUCCAUAGGGUCUUCUCGUCUUAUUAUGUUAUUCCCGCCUCUUCGCGGGAAGGUCAAUUUCACUGAUUGGAAGUAAGAGACAAAACCCUCGUGUAGCCAUUCAUACAAGUCCUUAUUUAGAGAACAAAUGAUUAUGCUACCUUUGCACGGUCAGGAUACCACGGCCGUUGAACAAAUGUCACUGGGCAGGCAGUGCCUCCAAUACUGGGGAUGCUGGAGGUGAUGUUUUUGGUAAACAGGCGGGGUUUAUGUUUGCCGAGUUCCUUUUACUUCUUUUAAUCUUUUCUUGGGUGCAUACCUGUGUUGGGUUAGCAAUAGAAUUGAUAAGUAUUUUAUUUUUGGGUUAAUUUUAUCAGGUUGUUAACUAUCAGUGGUUUAUCCGUUUCUGAUAUAAGCUUAUGCAGGGAGAAAUAAUUCUUGUUACUCAUACUAGCAUUAUUGCUUCUAUAUUUAAAUAGAAUAACCCAGUGGCAUAUUAGGAGUUGAUUAAAUACGGUUGGAAUUAAGUCAUGUUGUUUGUUGAGCUUGAACGCUUUCUCAAUUGAUGGCUGCUUUUAGGCCAACUAUGGUGAUAUUAACAUGUACUCUCUAAUGAAGGUUGUAUCCUUAUUCUAAAAAGCUGUACCUUUUUAGAUUAUAUUUUAAAUUUACAUUAGAAUUUUAAUUUUUUUUUAGGUAAAUUUAAAGUUGAACUAAAAUUCUGUUUAUGGGUAACCAGCUAUCACCAGGCUCGUUAGGCUUUUUACCGCUACCUAUAAAUCUUCUCACUAUUUUGCUACAUAGAUGAGUUGAUCCUUCUAGAUUGUUCAUAGGUAGCUCGUCUGGUUUCAGGGGACUUAGCUUAAGUUCUCUUUGUUAAGUUAUUUCUGGCUAAUUCAUUAUGCAAAAGGUAAAAGGGGUAAUCUUUGCUGUUUUGUACUUUUAAAAUGUCUUUCAUCAUUCCCUUACGGUACUAUCUCUAUAGCUCC
rnacentral:lncRNA from 1 species